rnacentral:rRNA from 1 species
CUGAAUUCUCUGAUACCCAGCUGGAUCAAAUGUUGACCUUCAAUGAUCUCUUCAUCCAAAAGGCGGCGGAAGGGGGUGCCGUUUGUCGGCCCCCCGUCCUCCGUAUUGCGA